GCUGUGAGGGCGGCUCAAACUGCUUUAUGCGCGACUAUACACUUCAAGGUAACUUGGCGGACUGGUGCAGUCAUUUCACGUUUGAAACUCCCAUCUCUGAUAAAAACAUCAGGUUUUCGGUACUGAAAGAAUUGUCAAAGGUUCUGACUGGGAAACAUUCUGCAAUUUCAGAGGGCAUUGGAUCAUCAAACGUUCCAAAAUACAAGUAUGCGC
rnacentral:lncRNA from 1 species